rfam:Photobacterium aphoticum strain DSM 25995 contig0020, whole genome shotgun sequence.
ACGCUAUCGGCACCACCACCAUUAUCACGAUUACCGGCACCAUGGUUGCUGGGGUGGGCUGAUACGCAAAAAGAAUUGCAGGAAAAAGCCCACAUCCACCCGAUGUGGGCUUUUUUUUG